AUCUAUUUAGUAUAUUAAGUACAAUUGACUUCCAAUCAAAAAGAUUGAUAAUAAUCAAAAUAAAUA
rnacentral:tRNA from 1 species